GGGAGUGAAAUAGAACCUGAAACCCUGCACUUACAAGCUGUGGAAGCACAUUUCUUGUGUGACCGCGUACUUUUUGUAGAACGGGCCAACGAGUUACGUUAAGUAGCAAGGUUAAGCACUUAAGGUGUGGAGCCGUAGCGAAAGCGAGUUUUAACUGAGCGUUCAGUUACUUGACGUAGACCCGAAACCGGGCGACCUACCCAUGAGCAGGAUGAAGCGAAAGUAAAAUUUCGUGGAGGUCCGAACCCACGAGCGUUGAAAAGCUCGGGGAUGACUUGUGGGUAGCGGUGAAAUUCCA
rnacentral:rRNA from 1 species